GAAGAGGAAGCCUAUGAAAAAUACAACAAAGCAGAGAAAAGAUUCAGUGACCACAACACAAAUGCCAAUUAGGGACCAAAUACUGAGAGAUAGCCCUGGUAGGAUAACUAGAAGCCGCCUUGCAUUCUUGUUUGGUGAGGGCACUUCCUCACAACCUGCCACUUCUACAACAAACGUCCAGGAGGCCACUGCAAGUCCAGCAAAGAAGACUACUCCAAAGAAAAAAAGGUAAAAAGAGCCCAGACAAAAAAAUUACUCCAAGAAGGAAGCUGUGAGCUCAACCACUAUUAAUUGUACUAAUGUAUCUGUAUGUUUUCCUUGUAUCGAAUUUGUACUGAUGUGCACUGAUAGUCAAGUGUAUUUGGUACUGGUAUGGUCAGUUAGCAGGGGCAAAUUCGUCCUUUGAUGUGGCUAUAAAUAUGGAAAUGAAAUGUAAUGGCCUGAUGGUAGAAAAAAUAAGAUGUUAAUAUUCU